ensembl:miRNA
GCUCCCUUCAACUUUAACAUGGAGGUGCUUUCUUUGAUUUCUGCUAAAAAAAGUAAGUGCUUCCAUGUUUUAGUCGAAGU